GAGGGUGUAGCUCAGUGGUAGAGUGCUUGUCUAGCAAGCACAAGGUUCUGGGUUCAGUCCCCAGCACCUCCA
rnacentral:tRNA from 1 species